GACGAACGCUGGCGGCGUGCUUAACACAUGCAAGUCGAACGGAAAGGCCCUGCUUUUGUGGGGUGCUCGAGUGGCGAACGGGUGAGUAACACGUGAGUAACCUGCCCUUGACUUUGGGAUAACUUCAGGAAACUGGGGCUAAUACCGGAUAGGAGCUCCUGCUGCAUGGUGGGGGUUGGAAAGUGUCGGCGGUUGUGGAUGGACUCGCGGCUUAUCCGCUUGUUGGUGGGGUAGUGGCUUACCAAGGCUUUGACGGGUAGCCGGCCUGAGAGGGUGACCGGCCACAUUGGGACUGAGAUACGGCGCAGACUCCUACGGGAGGCAGCAGUGGGGAAUAUUGCACAAUGGGCGGAAGCGUGAUGCAGCAACGCCGCGAGCGGGAUGACGGCCUUCGGGUUGUAAACCGCUUUCGCCGGUGACGAAGCGUGAGUGACGGUAAUGGGUAAAGAAGCACCGGCUAACUACGUG
rnacentral:rRNA from 1 species